ensembl:lncRNA
GGAGAUUCUGAAGGCAUAACUAGAAUAGAAAUGACUUCUGCUAGUCAGUUACAAAGGAAAUUGUUCCCCUUCUGUCUUCAGUGAGUUGCAGAGUCACUGCUUUGCCAUCCAGGAGAUGGACAACAUAGUAGGUGUGUUUUUUGAAUGGCUUUUAUUAGAAAGCAAGAUGGUACCUAUUCUUGUGAUUGUGCUUCUCAUUGAGCAGUUCCAAAAUUUGCCUCAUCACUGGAAUCAGGAAGAUGCUUUAAAAAGGACAGAGAGAUCUUUUGUCAAACUGAGACCUACUGAAUAGCACCAGAUCUAUGUAGCCUGGUGGAUGGAUCCAGGGGAACGACUUGUUCUGGAUUGAAUCUGGAUCCCGUCAGAUUCACUGAAUCAAAAUUUUCAGCUGUGGGCUCAGAUGGCACAAGUUGAAGAC